rnacentral:rRNA from 1 species
CUGCACACCUCUCAGCUAGUCCGGCAAGGUCGUCAACCUGGCCUUCAACCAGCUGUCGCCCCUGGUGAGUUGUCCGGCGUUGAAUCCAAUUGAACCGCAGGUCCCACCCCUUGUGGUGCUCCCCCGCCAAUUUCUUUAAGUUUCAGCCUUGCGACCGUACUUCCCAGGCGGCGGGCUUAACGGCUUCCCUACGGCACCGAGCGCCCUCUAAGGACGCUCUACACCCGACCCGCAUGCUUUACGGCUUGGACUACCGGGGUAUCUAAUCCCGUUCGCUCCCCAAGCUUUCGCCCCUCACCGUCGGGUCCGUUCUGGCCGGACGCCUUCGCCACUGGUGGUCCCCCAGGGAUUACAGCAUUUCACCGCUACCCCCGGAGUACCUCCGACCUCUCCCGGCCCCAAGGCCGACAGUAUCCCUUGCAAGCCGAACGGUUAAGCCGUCCGAUUUCACAAGGGACUUACCGGCCCGGCUACGAGCGCUUUAGGCCCAAUAAACGCGANCACCACUUGGGCUGCUGGUAUUACCGCGGCGGCUGGCACC